rnacentral:rRNA from 1 species
UACAGAGGUCUCAAGCGUUGUUCGGAUUCAUUGGGCGUAAAGGGUGCGUAGGCGGCGCGAUAAGUCGGGGUGUGAAAUCUCGGAGCUUAACUCCGAAACUGCAUUCGAUACUGGCGUGCUUGAGGACUGGAGAGGAGACUGGAAUUCAUGGUGUAGCAGUGAAAUGCGUAGAGAUCAUGAGGAAGACCAGUGGCGAAGGCGGGUCUCUGGACAGUUCCUGACACUGAGACACGAAGGCCAGGGGAGCAAACGGG